rnacentral:misc_RNA from 1 species
GAUGAAGAACGUAGCGAAAUGCGAUAAGUAAUGUGAAUUGCAGAAUUCAGUGAAUCAUCGAAUCUUUGAACGCACAUUGCGCCCCUUGGUAUUCCGGGGGGCAUGCCUGUUCGAGCGCCAUUUCAACCCUCAAGCUCUGCUUGGUAUUGGGCUCCGUCCUCCUCGGACGCGCCUCAAAGACCUCGGCGGUGGCGUCUUGCCUCAAGCGUAGUAGAAACACCUCGCUUUGGAGUGCAUGGCGUCGCCCGCCGGACGAAACCUUUUGUAUUUUCUCAAGGGUUGAACUCGGAUCAGGUAGGGAUACCCGCUGAACUUAAGCAUAUCAAUAAGCGGAGGA